UAAUUAAUGGCAGGAUGGACGCAGCGAGGUCAUAGAAAGUAAUAGAAAAUAUUCUUAGUAAGUAUAGUAAUUGCAUAGAUGGAGAAUCAAGUGUAGUAUUCGAAGAUCUUAAUUAUAGAGUUGUGAAGUCCUAAUAGGUGGUAUAAUGAGGCGAACAAGCUCUAAAACGAACUAAUUGUGUCUUAAUGACAUCUUUAACGUGGAAAUGAAACAAUGGCGUCUGCUCCAGAGAGAAGCUGACUUCAUCUGUGGCUGUCAUUGGCAGACUGGACUCUUCUUCAUCAGGAGGGAGGAGAUUUUCUCCGGCACACCCAGAUUAGGAGUUUAAAUGAGCUCUAGUCUGCACUGCAGAUGCUAUGAAACGCAGAAGAGAUGUUUUCCAGAAGAAUCCAUUCGGUGAGCUCAGAAAAACAGCAGUCCGGAGCUGUUAUUUCCCAGCCGUCCCAGUUCUCCCUGGAGGAUGGAUGCAAUUUCCACACAG